UACGAAGGGGGCUAGCGUUGCUCGGAAUCACUGGGCGUAAAGCGCACGUAGGCGGCUUUUUUAAGUCAGGGGUGAAAUCCUGGAGCUCAACUCCAGAACUGCCUUUUGAUACUGGGGAAGCUUGAGUCCGGGAGAGGUGAGUGGAAUUCCGAGUGUAGAGGUGAAAUUCGUAGAUAUUCGGAAGAACACCAGUGGCGAAGGCGGCUCACUGGACUGGUAUUGACGCUGAGGUGCGAAAAGCGUGGGGGAGCAAACAGG
rnacentral:rRNA from 1 species